rnacentral:rRNA from 1 species
ACGAGAAAGUGGUAGCAAUACCAUGAGUAAAGUGGCGCACGGGUGAGUAACACGUGACUAACCUACCCUGGAGUGGGGGAUAACUGAGGGAAACCUUAGCUAAUACCGCAUAAUACCUACGGGUCAAAGGAGCAAUUCGCUUUGGGAGGGGGUCGCGGCCGAUUAGUUAGUUGGCGGGGUAAUGGCCCACCAAGACGAUGAUCGGUAUCCGGCCUGAGAGGGCGCACGGACACACUGGAACUGAAACACGGUCCAGACUCCUACGGGAGGCAGCAGUGGGGAAUUUUGCGCAAUGGGGGAAACCCUGACGCAGCAACGCCGCGUGGAGGAUGAAGUCCUUCGGGACGUAAACUCCUUUCGAUCGGGACGAUUAUGACGGUACCGGAAGAAGAAGCCCCGGCUAACUUCGUGCCAGCAGCCGCGGUAAUACGAGGGGGGCGAGCGUUGUUCGGAAUUAUUGGGCGUAAAGGGUGCGUAGGCGGUUUGGUAAGUCUCUUGUGAAAUCUAUGGGCUCAACUCAUAGUCUGCAAGGGAAACUGCCGGGCUUGAGUGUGGGAGAGGUGAGUGGAAUUUCCGGUGUAGCGGUGAAAUGCGUAGAUAUCGGAAGGAACACCUGUGGCGAAAGCGGCUCACUGGACCACAACUGACGCUGAUGCACGAAAGCUAGGGGAGCAAACAGGAUUAGAUACCCUGGUAGUCCUAGCCCUAAACGAUGACUGCUUGGUGUGACGG